UACGUAGGGACCAAGCGUUGUCCGGAAUCAUUGGGCGUAAAGAGCGUGUAGGCGGCUUGUUAAGUCUUGCGUGAAAUCUCGGGGCUCAACCCCGAGCGGUCGUGAGAAACUGGCAGGCUAGAGUGCGGGAGAGGAGAGUGGAAUUCCUGGUGUAGCGGUGAAAUGCGUAGAUAUCGAGAGGAACACCUGCGGCGAAGGCGGGUUGCUGGGCUGACACUGACGCUGAAGCGCGAAAGCUAGGGGAGCGAACGGG
rnacentral:rRNA from 1 species